rnacentral:rRNA from 1 species
GACGACCGCUGGCGGCGUGCCUAAUACAUGCAAGUCGAACGCAGUGGGGACGGGUGAGUAACACGUGGGUAACCUCCCAUCAGAGGGGAUAACACUUGGAAACAGGUGCUAAACCGAUACGGAUGGAUGGACCCGCGGGUCAUUCGCUAGGUGGUGAGGUAACGGCUCACCAAGGCCACGAUGCAUAGCCGACCGGAGAGAGGGAGCGGCCACACUGGGACUGAGACACGGCCCAGACUCCUACGGGAGGAAGAAGUAGGGAAUAUUGGACAAUGGGCGCAAGCCUGAGGCAGCAAUGCAGCGUGUAUGAAGAAGGCUUUCGGGUUGUAAAGUACUUUCAGUAGGGAGGCGUUACCGAAACAAGAAGCACCGGCUAACUCCGUGCCAGCAGCCGCGGUAAUUC